rnacentral:misc_RNA from 1 species
GAUGAAGAACGCAGCGAAAUGCGAUACGUAAUGUGAAUUGCAGAAUUCAGUGAAUCAUCGAGUCUUUGAACGCACAUUGCGCCCCCUGGUAUUCCGGGGGGCAUGCCUGUCCGAGCGUCAUUGCUGCCCUCAAGCACGGCUUGUGUAUUGGGCCUCCGUCCUCCUCCCGGGGGACGGGCCCGAAAGGCAGCGGCGGCACCGCGUCCGGUCCUCGAGCGUAUGGGGCUUCGUCACCCGCUCUUGUAGGCCCGGCCGGCGCUUGCCGACACAUCAAUCUUUUUUCCAGGUUGACCUCGGAUCAGGUAGGGAUACCCGCUGAACUUAAGCAUAUCAAUAAGCGGAGGA